CCUCGGACCUUGAAAAUUAUGGUGGGGACACGCAAACUUCUCAACAGGCCGUACCAAUAUCCGCAGCUGGUCUCCAAGGUGAAGAGUCUCUAGUCGAUAGAAUAAUGUAGGUAAGGGAAGUCGGCAAAUUAGAUCCGUAACUUCGGGAUAAGGAUUGGCUCUGAAGAUUGAGAUAGUCGGGCUUGAUUGGGAAACAAUAACAUGGUUUAUGUGCUCGUUCUGGGUAAAUAGAGUUUCUAGCAUUUAUGUUAGUUACUUGUUCCCCGGAUAGUUUAGUUACGUAGCCAAUUGUGGAACUUUCUUGCUAAAAUUUUUAAGAAUACUAUUUGGGUUAAACCAAUUAGUUCUUAUUAAUUAUAACGAUUAUCAAUUAACAAUCAAUUCAGAACUGGCACGGACUUGGGGAAUCCGACUGUCUAAUUAAAACAAAGCAUUGUGAUGGCCCUAGCGGGUGUUGACACAAUGUGAUUUCUGCCCAGUGCUCUGAAUGUCAAAGUGAAGAAAUUCAAGUAAGCGCGGGUCAACGGCGGGAGUAACUAUGACUCUCUUAAGGUAGCCA
rnacentral:rRNA from 1 species